CGAAGCGUGCGAUUGGAUUGCACGUCUAAGCAGUAAGGCUGAGUAUUAGGCAAAUCCGGUACUCAUUAAGGCUGAGCUGUGAUGGGGAGAAGACAUUGUGUCUUCGAGUCGUUGAUUUCACACUGCCGAGAAAAGCCUCUAGAUAGAAAAUAGGUGCCCGUACCGCAAACCGACACAGGUAGUCAAGAUGAGAAUUCUAAGGUGAGCGAGCGAACUCUCGUUAAGGAACUCGGCAAAAUGACCCCGUAACUUCGGGAGAAGGGGUGCUCUUUAGGGUUAACGCCCAGAAGAGCCGCAGUGAAUAGGCCCAAGCGACUGUUUAUCAAAAACACAGGUCUCUGCUAAACCGUAAGGUGAUGUAUAGGGGCUGACGCCUGCCCGGUGCUGGAAGGUUAAGAGGAGUGGUUAGCUUCUGCGAAGCUACGAAUCGAAGCCCCAGUAAACGGCGGCCGUAACUAUAACGGUCCUAAGGUAGCGAAAUUCCUUGUCGGGUAAGUUCCGACCCGCACGAAAGGCGUAACGAUUUGGGCACUGUCUCAACGAGAGACUCGGUGAAAUCAUAGUACCUGUGAAGAUGCAGGUUACCCGCGACAGGACGGAAAGACCCCGUGGAGCUUUACUGUAGCCUGAU
rnacentral:rRNA from 1 species